UACAGAGGGUGCAAGCGUUAAUCGGAAUUACUGGGCGUAAAGCGUGCGUAGGUGGUUUGUUAAGUCAGGCGUGAAAUCCUGGGGCUCAACCUCAGAAUUGCGCUUGAUACUGACAGACUCGAGUGUGGUAGAGGAUAGUGGAAUUCCCGGUGUAGCGGUGAAAUGCGUAGAGAUCGGGAGGAACAUCAGUGGCGAAGGCGGCUAUCUGGACCAACACUGACAAUGAGGUACGAAAGAGUGGGUAGCAAACAGG
rnacentral:rRNA from 1 species